rnacentral:rRNA from 1 species
AACGAACGCUGGCGGCAUGCCUAACACAUGCAAGUCGAACGAGAUCUUCGGGUCUAGUGGCGCACGGGUGCGUAACGCGUGGGAAUCUGCCCUUUGGUUCGGAAUAACAGUUGGAAACGACUGCUGAUACUGGAUGAUGACGAAAGUCCAAAGAUUUAUCGCCAGAGGAUGAGCCCGCGUAGGAUUAGCUAGUUGGUGUGGUAAAGGCGCACCAAGGCGACGAUCCUUAGCUGGUCUGAGAGGAUGAUCAGCCACACUGGGACUGAGACACGGCCCAGACUCCGACGGGAGGCAGCAGUGGGGAAUAUUGGACAAUGGGCGAAAGCCUGAUCCAGCAAUGCCGCGUGAGUGAUGAAGGCCUUAGGGUUGUAAAGCUCUUUUACCCGGGAUGAUAAUGACAGUACCGGGAGAAUAAGCUCCGGCUAACUCCGUGCCAGCCGCCGCGGUAA